UGGCUCAAUGGAUAGAGCAUCAGCCUGAGAGCUGAAGGGUCUGGGUUCGAUUCCAG
rnacentral:tRNA from 1 species